CUUGACUCGAAUGACAAAGGUUCCAUUUGGAAUUGAUGAGCAGAUAUCUACACAUUCCUCAUAAACAACAUCUAACUGUUCUAAUGUCAAUGGUUUUUCUGGAUCUUUUAUUGUCCUGACUCUUUGAUGUCUUUUUCAGUAACCUCGGCUGGUUGUUUUUUAUUAACAAGAUCUUCUGCGGUAUCCAUGAUAUGAUUUGGCAAAAUACCAUCUUUAAUUUUAGUUCCAAUUGAUAAUUUACGUAACAAAGAUAACAUCGUAGUCGUGGUCUACAAUAGUCAAUAAUGUAAUCUUUAUUUAAACGCUUCGAAAAAAUUAAUAUUCUAAAAUUUUAUUAUAUAGAACUGUCAAUACAUUUUAUUUAAAUUAGUUUAAAGGUUAUUGUGGAACGUUUAAGAAAUGCCAUUCACUUAUAAUGUAAAAUUCCAUCCAAAGUUGUACUUUAUUGACUAUGAACAUAAAAAAGUUCAAUUUAUGAUCGAAAAACGUUGCUUCAACAAUAUAAAUAAUUUAUAAAUAAUUAUUAAUGUUAUCUGAUUGCAUGAACACCAGAUUUAUCAAAAUAUUGUGGUUUUGGAGUAUUUUAAAAACCAAGAUAUUGCCCUCGUGGAAUUUUCUGCAAUUACAUUCAGAGGUGGGAUGUUUAAAAAAAAAAUGAGUCGAUAUCUUGCUAUUAUUUUGUUGGAAUUUCACAAAAGCCUCGAAGCACAAGUUUUAUUCGACUCAACUAUUUUUUUUGUAAAUAAUAAAACAUAAAUUGUUGCUUAUGCAUUCAAUGCCAUGACUCGGUUUUAUCCAUGGAUUGAUAAGCCAGGAAAAAUACCUAAGCACCUCUAUUGAACGUAAUUAUAUCGACAUUCGAUAACUGAAUGCAAAUUUUUAUUAUUGCAAAUAGAGAUGGUAGAUAAACAACAUUUAUCAUGGUUAUUACGUUCCUUUUUCAUUAAAAAAAAUAAUUGUAAUUGCUAUUUUGAAAGAUGUCUUUAAAAGUCAUCGAUAUAUCGAAGAAAUUAAAUUCAAUUCUGGACCGGUUGUAGAUGUCGCGAACUUCAUAAAUAUAAAAAAUGAAUUUUUACAUUAUGUCGUUAUUUUUAUUGUGCUAUGAUGAAUUUUUUAAAUAAAAAUCAUUUUUCAACUUUAUUUAGAAUAUUUAUUUUGUAAUAGCAAAAUAAAACUUACUCCAAAAGAUUCAACUAAAAAACGAACAUUUGUUUUUUUCUACAAAAGCUGAAUAAUCAAAAAUAGUAAUCUGGUCAAAAAAAUUAUUAUUAUAUCAGUCUAAUUAUUAACACCAAUGGCAAAACAAUUUUGUGAAAAUUAGAUUUUAUACUCACAUGAUACUAAGUAUAAUUUUAAAUCAAAUGUGCAAGUGUUUUUGCGCCUGUGCAAUUAUCUGUGAUAUUUAUUGUCAAAAUACUGUUAAAUUUAAAAUUUAACUAGCUUUGAUAAUUAUUUUAAUAAUAAUACAUAAAAAAAGUUUUUACAUUAUUUUAGUAAAUGUGUUUUCUAUUGUUUCAUUCAUUGUUUUGGUGAAAGAAUUACUUAUCUGACUCAUGCACUAUUGAUUGUGGUACAUCUAGUUGCCAUGAUGCAAUUUUAGUUCUUACUGAGUUGUUGCAACGCUUGCUAGUUGAUUUGCAAAUCAUAUACAGAACAAUAUGUUGUCGUUAAUGAGAAAAAUUCAGCCUAAUAAGGCAAUAUCACCUCUAGUAGGACAAAAAAGAACAGAAAUAAUGGCUACUUUACCAAGAGGAAAAUUAUCAACCUUGGAAGCAGUGGGUCAUGGAUUGUUCUUUUUCGUUGGUGUCCUAGCCGUUCCGACAUAUAUCGCGUUUAACAUUAAACAUUAUAGAGGUGGUAGUAAAUAAAAAUAAUUAAUUACAUGGAAGUACAGUUUGUAUCAUUAAAUUAGUCACACAACAAUAACGGUAAAAUGAUAUUUCUGUAAAAUGUAUUAUGAAUGAUUUUAUAUACGUUAAUGUAACGAUAAAGUACCAUUCAUAUGUUUGAUUCAAACAACAAUCAGUAGAAAAAUAAAUAACCUUAAAUUAA